rnacentral:rRNA from 1 species
GAUAAACGCUGGCGGCGUGCUUAACACAUGCAAGUCGAACGAAGUUUUUCCUUCGGGAGAAACUUAGUGGAGGACGGGUGAGUAACGCGUGGGUAACCUGCCCUGUACAGGGGGACAACAGCUGUAAACGGCUGCUAAUACCGCAUAAGCCCUUAGCACUGCAUGGUGCAUAGGGAAAAGGAGCAAUCCGGUACAGGAUGGACCCGCGUCUGAUUAGCCAGUUGGCAGGGUAACGGCCUACCAAAGCGACGAUCAGUAGCCGAUCUGAGAGGAUGUACGGCCACAUUGGGACUGAGACACGGCCCAGACUCCUACGGGAGGCAGCAGUAGGGAAUAUUGCACAAUGGAGGAAACUCUGAUGCAGCGACGCCGCGUGAGUGAAGAAGUAUUUCGGUAUGUAAAGCUCUAUCAGCAGGGAAGAAAAUGACGGUACCUGACUAAGAAGCACCGGCUAAAUACGUG